GGAUGAGCAGGGAUGAUAUUCUCCUAGCUGUUCCCAUGGUGGACGGCAAAUGAUUGUUGAAAGGAUGAAUUAAAUAUUGCUUGGAGACACUACACAUCUACUCAAGGUGAAAGAGAAGAGGAUCAAGAAAAGGAUAACCACAUUCUUUUGGGAUCUGUGACAAGAGAGGCUGGUGUGGAGACUGG